AUGCUAGAGUUGUCCUAUGUGUG
rnacentral:siRNA from 1 species